UGGAAACCACUUUUCAAAGGUGUGGAGACUGAUGAACUGGAGUUGCUAACAAGAAGACUGAAGGAAUGCUGUGCUGGACUGCGAAAUAUCAGAACUGGGGUGGUUCCACUGCCAAAUGGAAACAAAUAUGUUAGCAUUAGAGUUGAGGUGCCUUUACAGCUAAAACUUGUGACCUAUCUUUAUUCAUGUAUUAGGAAUUUGUUUUUGGAUGAUCGAUUCUGCAUGGCUAAAUCCAUCGUGGAUUUGUUGAGGUGGUCCUCCAGGUAUGGCCCGGGGCACUCAAGUUUUAACAAAAUUAUGUGCAACACUUGGGGGUGUAUCUAUAUGGUGUUGUUGUGA
rnacentral:lncRNA from 2 species